rnacentral:rRNA from 1 species
CGCAUCUGUGCAUGCAGCAUAUCAAUAAGCGGAGGAAAAGAAACUAACAAGGAUUCCCUCAGUAACGGCGAGUGAAGCGGGAAGAGCUCAAAUUUGAAAUCUUGAAAGGUCACCUUUCACGAAUUGUAGUUUAAAGAAGUGUUUUCUGUUACGAUCGUAAUAUAAGUUCUUUGGAAUAGGACAUCACAGAGGGUGAGAAUCCCGUCUAUGAUUGCGAUUUGUAGCUUUGUGAUACACUUUCAAAGAGUCGGGUUGUUGGGAAUGCAGCCCAAAACGGGAGGUAAAUUUCUUCUAAGGCUAAAUAUUGGCGAGAGACCGAUAGCGAACAAGUACCGUGAGGGAAAGAUGAAAAGAACUUUGAAAAGAGAGUUAAAUAGUACGUGAAAUUGUCAAAAGGGAAGCGUUUAACACCAGGUGUUGUUUUCUGAAAAUCAACCUCUGUUAGCUUUAUGCAUGUUUGUUUAGACCUAAUCAGCUAUCUUGCAUGUUCUAUUGUUUGCAGUGGUGCACUUUUCAGUUUACAGGUCAACAUCAGUUUUUUUUACCGUAAAAAAGUUAAAGAAAGGUAGCUCAUGGCUCCGGUCGUGAGUGUUAUAGUCUUUUUCCUAUGCGGUAGGAGAGACUGAGGUCUGCAGUGUAGGCUAUUUGGCUAGAUACUCAGGUGCUAUGUGAUACCAUUUCAUAAACAACUUGUUGAUUAUGUUUUGUCUAUUGCAUACUCGCUUGUACUAUCAUACCUACGCUUAGGAUGUUGACGAUCAGCUGAGCGCG